rnacentral:pre_miRNA from 1 species
UUCGCCGCCGCCGUCAUCCUGCGCGAGGAAGGGGGCGCGGGAUCCUGCGACUCCUUCGUCGCGCAGGAUGACGGGGUCCCGGGU